rnacentral:tRNA from 1 species
GCCAGCGUAGCUCAGUUGGUAGAGCAGCGGUUUUGUAAACCGCAGGUCGUCGGUUCGAGCCCGACCGUUGGCU